UACCUAACCAGAAAGCCACGGCUAACUACGUGCCAGCAGCCGCGGUAAUACGUAGGUGGCAAGCGUUGUCCGGAAUUAUUGGGCGUAAAGGGCUCGCAGGCGGUUUCUUAAGUCUGAUGUGAAAGCCCCCGGCUCAACCGGGGAGGGUCAUUGGAAACUGGGAACUUGAGUGCAGAAGAGGAGAGUGGAAUUCCACGUGUAGCGGUGAAAUGCGUAGAGAUGUGGAGGAACACCAGUGGCGAAGGCGACUCUCUGGUCUGUAACUGACGCUGAGGAGCGAAAGCGUGGGGAGCGAACAGGAUUAGAUACCCUGGUAGUCCACGCCGUAAACGAUGAGUGCUAAGUGUUAGGGGGUUUCCGCCCCUUAGUGCUGCAGCUAACGCA
rnacentral:rRNA from 1 species